UACGUAGGUGGCAAGCGUUGUCCGGAAUUAUUGGGCGUAAAGCGCGCGCAGGCGGUCCCUUAAGUCUGAUGUGAAAGCCCACGGCUCAACCGUGGAGGGUCAUUGGAAACUGGGGGACUUGAGUACAGAAGAGGAAAGCGGAAUUCCACGUGUAGCGGUGAAAUGCGUAGAUAUCGUUUGGAACGCCAAUGGUGAAAACAGGUUGCUGGGAGUGCGCUGACGCUGAGACACGAAAGCCAGGGGAGCAAACGGG
rnacentral:rRNA from 1 species